rnacentral:misc_RNA from 1 species
AAGGAUCAUUAAACGUAUCCACGUAUAACCCAAUGAGAACUGGUUUUCUAAACCCCCUGUGUAACUGGUGGCGUUUGAGAUAGCGUGAGUGCACGGGUGAGGGAGUGAUUUCCCUUAGAGCUCUGCUCAUCGAUGUCACGCGUUACACGGGUCACAACAAAUCCUGUGAGUGUUUCUUAUUUUUACCACAAACCCUUUGUAAUUCUUUGAUGAACUUUGUUUGAUGUGGGAAACCACUUCGAACGUUAAAAAAAUGAAACUUAAGCACAACUCUUAACAACGGAUAUCUAGGCUCUC